GAAUCUACCAAGAAACUUCUGGUUUGAUUGUUAUAGUUUAAACAUAGAUUUAUCUUUUCUUUAGGGUGACCGUGGACCAGCAGGAGCACCAGGACUGUCAGGGACACCGGGAAAGCCGGGAUCUCCUGGGUCCCCAGGCUUGCCAGGAGAACCUGGUGAAAGAGGACCUAUAGGAGAUAUAGGCUUCCCUGGUCCAGAAGGGCCCCAAGGAAAACCAGUAAGC
rnacentral:lncRNA from 1 species